rnacentral:rRNA from 1 species
UGCGUAGGCGGAUUGGCAAGUCAGAAGUGAAAUCCAUGGGCUUAACCCAUGAACUGCUUUUGAAACUGUUAGUCUUGAGUGAAGUAGAGGUAGGCGGAAUUCCCGGUGUAGCGGUGAGAUGCGUAGAGAUCGGGAGGAACACCAGUGGCGAAGGCGGCCUACUGGGCUUUAACUGACGCUGAGGCACGAAAGUGUGGGUAGCAAACA